AUACGUAGGGGGCGAGCGUUGUCCGGAAUGAUUGGGCGUAAAGGGCGCGUAGGCGGCCCGGUAAGUCUGGAGUGAAAGUCCUGUUUUUAAGAUGGGAAUUGCUUUGGAUACUGUCGGGCUUGAGUGCAGGAGAGGUAAGUGGAAUUCCCAGUGUAGCGGUGAAAUGCGUAGAGAUUGGGAGGAACACCAGUGGCGAAGGCGACUUAGUGGACUGUAACUGACGCUGAGGCGCGAAAGUGUGGGGAGCAAACAGGAUUAGAUACCCUGGUAGUCCACACAGUAAACGAUGAAUGCUAGGUGUAGGGGGUAUCGACCCCUUCUGUGCCGCAGUCAACACAAUAAGCAUGCCGCCUGGGGAGUACGGCCGCAAGGUUGAAACUCAAAGGAAUUGACGGGG
rnacentral:rRNA from 1 species